rnacentral:rRNA from 1 species
UACGUAGGGGGCGAGCGUUAUCCGGAUUCACUGGGUGUAAAGGGAGCGUAGACGGCCAAGCAAGCCAGGGGUGAAAGCCCGGGGCCCAACCCCGGGACUGCCCUUGGAACUGCAUGGCUGGAGUGCGGGAGGGGCAGGCGGAAUUCCUGGCGUAGCGGUGAAAUGCGUAGAUAUCAGGAGGAACACCGGCGGCGAAGGCGGCCUGCUGGACUGCGACUGACGUUGAGGCUCGAAAGCGUGGGGAGCGAACAGG